GUGUAUUACUAGGGGUUUUGAAAGCCCCAUCCGGUCUUUUAACCAAUACAUG
rnacentral:tRNA from 1 species